rnacentral:rRNA from 1 species
GAGACCGGCGCACGGGUNCGUAACGCGUAUGCAAUCUACCUUUUGACAGAGGGAUAGCCCAGAGAAAUUUGGAUUAAUACCUCAUAGUAUAGUACUUUGGCAUCAAGGAACUAUUAAAGUCACAACGGCAAAAGAUGAGCAUGCGUCCCAUUAGCUAGUUGGUAAGGUAACGGCUUACCAAGGCUACGAUGGGUAGGGGUCCUGAGAGGGAGAUCCCCCACACUGGUACUGAGACACGGACCAGACUCCUACGGGAGGCAGCAGUGAGGAAUAUUGGACAAUGGGCGCAAGCCUGAUCCAGCCAUGCCGCGUGCAGGAUGACGGUCCUAUGGAUUGUAAACUGCUUUAUACAGGAAGAAACACUCCGACGUGUCGGAGCUUGACGGUACUGUAAGAAUAAGGAUCGGCUAACUCCGUG